AAGCUCGUAGUUGAAUUUCGGGACUAGUACGUUGGUCGUGCCUUAGGUACGUACUGGUGUUACUGGUUCCUACCUUCUGACGAACCAUUAUGUCAUUAAUUUGGUGUGGUGGGGAAUCAGGACUGUUACUUUGAAAAAAUUAGAGUGUUUAAAGCAAGGCUCGCGCUUGAAUACAUUAGCAUGGGAAUAAUGAAAUAGGACGUUGAUCCUAUUUUGUUGGCUUCUAGGAUUUGACGUAAUGAUUAAUAGGGAUAGUUGGG
rnacentral:rRNA from 1 species